rnacentral:rRNA from 1 species
AACGAACGCUGGCGGCAGGCUUCAUACAUGCAAGUCGAACGAUUAAAGCUCCUUCGGGAGUGUAUAAAGUGGCGAACGGGUGAGUAACAGGUGGAUAACCUGCCUUUCAGAGGGGGAUAACGGUUGGAAACGGCCGCUAAUACCGCAUACGAUUGUUUGGUCUUCGGGCCAGAUCAUGAAAGGGGCUUUUGCUCCGCUGAGAGAUGGGUCCGCCCCCAUUAGCUAGUUGGUGUGAUAAAAGCGCACCAAGGCAACGAUGGGUAGCCGGACUGAGAGGUUGGCCGGCCACACUGGAACUGAGACACGGUCCAG